AUGAACGCUGGCGGCGUGCCUAAUACAUGCAAGUCGAGCGAACGGACGAGAAGCUUGCUUCUCUGAUGUUAGCGGCGGACGGGUGAGUAACACGUGGAUAACCUACCUAUAAGACUGGGAUAACUUCGGGAAACCGGAGCUAAUACCGGAUGAUAUUUUGAACCGCAUGGUUCAAAAGUGAAAGACGGACUUGCUGUCACUUAUAGAUGGAUCCGCGCUGCAUUAGCUAGUUGGUAAGGUAACGGCUUACCAAGGCAACGAUGCAUAGCCGACCUGAGAGGGUGAUCGGCCACACUGGAACUGAGACACGGUCCAGACUCCUACGGGAGGCAGCAGUAGGGAAUCUUCCGCAAUGGGCGAAAGCCUGACGGAGCAACGCCGCGUGAGUGAUGAAGGUCUUCGGAUCGUAAAACUCUGUUAUUAGGGAAGAACAUAUGUGUAAGUAACUGUGCACAUCUUGACGGUACCUAAUCAGAAAGCCACGGCUAACUACGUG
rnacentral:rRNA from 1 species